AGUGAACGCUGGCGGUAGGCCUAACACAUGCAAGUCGAACGGCAGCACAGUAAGAGCUUGCUCUUACGGGUGGCGAGUGGCGGACGGGUGAGGAAUACAUCGGAAUCUACUUUUUCGUGGGGGAUAACGUAGGGAAACUUACGCUAAUACCGCAUACGACCUACGGGUGAAAGCAGGGGAUCUUCGGACCUUGCGCGAUUGAAUUAGCCGAUGUCGGAUUAGCUAGUUGGCUGGGUAAAGGCACACCAAGGCGACGAUCCGUAGCUGGUCUGAGAGGAUGAUCAGCCACACUGGAACUGAGACACGGUCCAGACUCCUACGGGAGGCAGCAGUGGGGAAUAUUGGACAAUGGGCGCAAGCCUGAUCCAGCCAUACCGCGUGGGUGAAGAAGGCCUUCGGGUUGUAAAGCCCUUUUGUUGGGAAAGAAAAGCAGCAGGUUAAUACCCCGCUGCUCUGACGGUACCCAAAGAAUAAGCACCGGCUAACUUCGUG
rnacentral:rRNA from 1 species